rnacentral:rRNA from 1 species
UACAGAGGUCCCAAGCGUUGUUCGGAUUCAUUGGGCGUAAAGGGUGCGUAGGCGGCGCGGUAAGUCGGGUGUGAAAUCUUGGAGCUUAACUCCGAAACUGCAUUCGAUACUGCCGUGCUUGAGGACUGGAGAGGAGACUGGAAUUUACGGUGUAGCGGUGAAAUGCGUAGAGAUCAUGAGGAAGACCAGUGGCGAAGGCGGGUCUCUGGACAGUCCUGA